UCUGGUAUGUAGUAACAUCAAGUUAGUGACAGACCUCAAAAGAAAGCAAUAAAAAGGUAUGUAAUUUGUUGCAAUGCUCCAAGCAUAAUUAUGAGGAUGUUAAUUAAAACAGUACACGUGUGCACAACUAAAGUAUCUAAAUUAAUGCCAAUCGCAGAAAUAGAAAGACAUAUCAAAUGGACAUAUUGCUAACCAACAUUAAUUUGCCGAUGAACUACGUACGAGCUACCAAUCUGCACGGUAUGGUCAAAGGCUCCAUGCAGUCCCGACCGUAGCAGCGCCAAUUUUGGAGACAAUUGCCAAGGUCGUCAUCGCUGCCCAUGCUUCCCUAGUCAAGGCCUCCACCUGCGCCAGCGCUGCUGUUGGCAUCACGCAUCAACAUGAGAAAGAGAUAAUCGCACCAUGGGAGAAGAGUGGAAGCUGUGUGGACACAACAAACCUGCCUAGGAGGAUGAGGUUGCCGAUGGUGGCAUCUGUCACCCUCCAGAUCGUCACCGGGAAAGGAGAAAAUGCAGAUCAUGCGGUCUCUUGUUAGAUACCCAAUUCCCUCUGCACUAUGGUGAUUAUAGAGUAGCGAUUACAGAGAAAUUGUGCUGGAUUACAGAGGAAUUGCAAAUCGAGAUGAACUCUCAGGAGAUAACAGUUCUAAGUUCCGCCGCCGCCAAGCCUGAUCCUCUGGAUGCCUCUUCCAGGACGGCUCUUCUCAAUAAGUAGACGAUGCAGUUGGAGAUUCCAGCUAGCGAAUCCACGAGGGCCCCAGGUACUUGCGAUUCUCCUUGCGAGCACGCACCGGGCGAGCCGUGUCUUCCCUCCUGUUGGUGUUGCUGUCAGGUGGGUCCAAUAGGUCAGGGAUGCUGACAUCCCCUCCUCCUUCAGACGAGGCUUGCCCCCAACCCUCAGCCGCAGGGAACCUGGCUUGCAGAGCCACACGAUCUUCCCAGGUCGGCGGCAAGGUAGGAUCACCAGACCACUGAAUCAGCACUUGCUCCACCAUGGUGCGGCGUAACUGACGCCAACGCCGCUUCAUCACUGCCACAGGAACCGCAUGAAUGUUUGAAUGAACUGGAAGUUCAGCAGAAACAACAGUACCUGGAGAACAGCCUUGCGCAAGAGGGAAACAUGAAAAAUUGGAUGCACUUGCGAUGAUGCUGGCAAAUCCAAUUUGUAAGCCACUUCAUUGACACGAGCCAGAACAGGAUAGGGACCAUAGUAUCGAAACGAGAGUUUAUGACUCGCUCGAGAGGCCACGGAAGAUUGCACAUAUGGCUGCAAUUUUAGAAACACCUAAUCACCAACCUCCAAUGAGCGAAAUGAACGCUUCUUGUCAGCAUGAAAUUUCAUCUGUUGCCGUGUGCGGUGCAAGUGCUGAUGUAAGAGUUGCUGAACCACGACGCGUUCAUCCAUCCAUGAUUGCAAUGCUAGAACUGAAAUGGAAUUGGUAGUGGUGAUGCCCCAGUGGCGUGGCUCAUGUCCAUACAUCGCACGGAAGGGCGACAUGCCAAUUGCAGAGUGCGAGGUGGAAUUGUACCAGAAUUGGGCUAGCGGCAACCAAAAGCUCCAGCGCUUGGGGCAUGCACUGAUGAAGCAACGGAGGUACGUCUCGAGGCACCGAUUGACGCGCUCGGUUUGGCCGUUAGACUGCGGGUGAUAAGCAGAGGUCAUAUUCAAAUUAGUGCCAGCAUACCUGAACAAUUCCUGCCAAAAAUGACUCGUGAACACGGGAUCUCGAACUUGAUUCAUAUACAACAACGCCACUUUGGAAGCCGUAUAUGGAUGAGCUAGCGGCAAGAAGUGGGCGAACUUGGUCAAUUUAUCGACAAUGACCAAAAUACAGUUCACAGACCCCGAUUGUGGCAAGCCAUCGAUGAAGUCCAUCGAUAUGACGUCCCAUGAUUCUUUGGGGACAGGCAGAGGCAUUAGCAAGCCGGGAUAAGCGACACGCUCCGGCUUGGCCUGCUGACAGGUUUGGCAACAUGCCACAUACUGCUGGAUGUGGUGCUUCAUUUUUGGCCAAGCAAAGAGGCGGCGGAUUCGACUAUAAGUCGCAGGGAACCCGGAGUGGCCGCCCAUAGGGCUAUCGUGAAAAGCUGAAAUAAUUUUCUGUUGAAUGCUAGUGCCACCACCAAGCCAGAUGCGUCCAUGAAAGCGCAAUAAGCCUUGUUCCAAGGAAAAACGACCCUUAGGAUCAGUACAAAUAGCUAACUGCUCCAGCAAACACUGCGCCUGCGGAUUGGAGUUAUAACUGGCCAACACAUCCUCCAGCCAAGAUGGUUGGCAAAUAGAAAGAGCUGCUAGCUGAUCAGAAUGUACCGAGCGAGAGAGAGCAUCCGCAGCACCAUUCUCAAUGCCUUUCUUAUAGCAGAUCCAAAAGCGUAAACCCAACAACUUUGUGAACGCCUUCUAUUGCCAAGGAGUUGUCAGGCGCUCCUCCAAAUGUACCAAGCUACGCUGAUCCGUCUUGAUAAUGAACUCAGCAUGCAUCAAAUAUGGACGCCACUGCUCCACAGCGAUGAUAAUAACAAGGUAUUCUUUCUCGUAAGUUGAGAGGCCACGGUACCUUGCGCUGAGAGCCUUGCUCAUAUAAGCAAUAGGGUGCCCCUCCUGUUGCAGCACGGCACCUACCCUGGUGUCACAUGCAUCUGUCUCUACCACGAAUGGCUUAGAAAAAUCCGGCAAUGCAAGAACGGGGGCAGAGAUAAGCUGGUGUUUGAGUACCUGAAAUGCUUGCUCGGUGACAUCAAUCCACACAAAUGGUGUUCCUUUUUUCAACAGAUUAAACAGAGGGCGCGCGAUGAUGCUGAAGUGACGGACGAACCGGCGGUAGAACCCAGCCAAGCCCAAGAAACGUCGCACUUCCUUGGCAUCCGAAGGAGAUGGCCAAGCCUGAACUGUCUGAAUUUUGGACAGCGCAGUUGACACCCCCUCUGAACUGAUCACGUGUCCCAAAUAAGAUAAAGACUGCUACCCAAAAGCGCACUUAGAUCGCUUGACCUGCCACUGAUCACGCCGUAAGAGCUCAAGCACCUGGCCCAGAUGAUGCACAUGGUCUAACAAAGAGCGACUGUAGACUAAGAUGUCGUCGAAGAAAACAAGAACACACUGACGAAGCAAAGGCUGCAACGUAGCAUUCAUCACGCCCAGAAAUGUGGCUGGAGCCCCCGCCAGACCAAACGGCAUGACGCGAUACUCAAAAUGGCCAGCAUCCGUCUGGAAAGCAGUCUUAAAUUUCUCCCCUGCCGCCAUUCUAAUUUGAUGGUAGCCGGCACGGAGGUCCAACUUGGAGAACCACUGCGCUCCAGCAAGCUCAUCCAAAAGCUCCUCAAUCACAGGUACCGGGAACUUGGCUAUGGUGGUCAUCGAAUUCAAGUGGCGAUAAUCAGUACAAAGACGCCACGAGCCAUCCUUCUUCUUAACUAGCAGAGUAGGUGAAGAAAAUGGGCUUGUGCUGCGCUAAAUCACCCCGGAGGCCAAAAGCUCAUUCACUUGCUUGUUAAUCUCUGUCUUCAGCUCAGGCUUAUGACGGUAAGGACGGAUGUUGACAGGACACGCACCCGGAAUGAGAGGAAUACGAUGAUCACAUGCUCGCCGCGGCGGCAAGCCCUGCGGUUCUGCAAAGACAUCUUCAAAUUGGUCCAGCACAUGUUGCACCACUGAAGGAAUAGCAGCAGAUGGUUCUUUAGUAUCAGACACCAUAUACAACUGGACCACAUGAGAAACUGCUCCGGUGCGACACAUGCUUGUAAACUGCAGAGCACUAAGCAAGUUCUCUGACAAGGUUGAAGUAGAAUUCCCCUGCAGAUGAAUAUGCCCCUUUUCAGAUGGAAUGACCAUAGAUUUACCUACCCAAUCGAUUUGUGGGUUGUGAUGCUCCAGCCAAUCCAUCCCCAAUAUCGCAUCAUAAACCCCAAGCUGCAAAACCUUGAAAUUAGUCACAAACUCAUGCCCUUGAGAAAACCAAGAACGGGCUGGUAAAAAAGACACACAACGCAAUUCACCUCCAUCUGCCACAUGCACACGGCACGAGCGGUCAAGCUGACAAAUGCCGUGGAGUUUGGGGGCCAAGGACUGAUUCACAAAGGAUGUGGUGCUGCCGGAAUCAAUCAAUAUGAGCACCUCUGCACCCUGAAGCCACGCAUGGAGCUGGACCGCCUUAGGCGAGGAACUGCCAUCAAGCGCCUGACGAGAAAUUGCAAACACCGUUUCUUCCGAAGUGUCAGUCACAUAUUCAACAGUGGGCUCAAAAAUUGUUUCCAGCGCGAACAAUUCCAAGAGCUCUUCAACAACAUGAAGCUGAACCGUGUUAGGACAAACGUGAUCAUGUCCCCAACGCUCCCCGCAUUUGAAGCACAGGCCCUUGGCACGCCAGUACUCGCGAAGAGCCUUAAGCUUGGCUAAAUCCUGUUGAGGUGGAUCAGGCGCGCGACGAUCAGGUGCCGCUGCAGGUGGUGGAGCGGUCAACUGUAGUCGAGCAGGAGGCGGGGGUAAAGGCAGUGGAACCCCCCGCCGCGGCGGUGCCGGAAGACGCCACGGGGGUGCACGAAACAUGUCUGGAUACAUGCUCGCCACCUCCUCCUGGAGCAAUGCCAGGGAACAUGCCGUGUCCAAAUCUGGCGGUCGCUGCACCAAGACCACCGCAUGAAUGUCCAAUCACAAUCCCUCGACAAAACGAGUUAAGAAAUAAUAAGAAGUGAGAUGAUUAGUAAUUGUCUCAAAUCGCUCAAUGUACUCAGAAACAGAAGAUGAUUGAUGGAUUGUGUAGAACUGUCGGAUGAGAAGCUGGUGUUUAUCACGACCAAACCGCGUAAACAACACGGCGGUGAAGGACUCCCAUGUGAAACUAGCAAGCUUCUUCUGAACUGACUGAAGCCACACGGCAGCGGCUCCCGAAAGAUUCAGAGAAGCCAUUGGAACCCAAUAGGUGGAGUGAAUAGCAAACAUCUGAAAAUAUUGCUCACACAAGGUUUUCCACAAGGUUGGAUUCUCCCCAUCGAACUGAGGAAAUCCAAUAGCCGGAUGGGCCUGACCAAUUCCGGCGAGCAACUGACUCGCAUGGGCAAAGGGAGAAGGUACAGACACAGGAGAUUGAAAGGGGAACUGACCAUUGGCCGGGAGGGGCGCCGGGAUCACAAAGCCCCCCGGUGCCCGCUCCCGUGAAGUCCCUGGGUCGCCGUGGUCCGCAGACCCGUGAGGAGCCCUGAGCAUGCCAGUGUCGCCGACGAUGAGAUCGUCGUUGGCUGCGUACCUUGGGUGUGGCGGGACAAGGGGAGCCGCCACCUCCUCACCAAGACGGCCGCGCCCCAGCGACGCGACCGCCUCGCUGAGGUUGCUGACGCGCGCCUCCGUCUCCGGGCGCCACGCCGCGAACUCAUCCAUCUUCGCCGAUUGGGCGCGAACCACAGUUGUGGUUUCCCGCAUGUCGUGCCGCAUCUCGUCAAAGCCUGUUGUGAGACGCUCGAACAACUCCUUGAAGGACGGAUCCAUCUGCUCGAUUUGGUCGCGGAUCUGACAAACGCGACGAGUCUCGAUAAUUGGAAGCGGCGCCAACGGGAGGGUGGAAGGAGGUCUCUGAUACCAGAUGUUAGGUACCCAAUUUCCUCUGCACUAUGGUGAUUAUAGAGUAGCGAUUACAGAGAAAUUGUGCUGGAUUACAGAGGAAUUGCAAAUCGAGAUGAACUCUUAGGAGAUAGCUACAGUUCUAAGUUCCGCCGCCGCCAAGCCUGAUCCUCUGGAUGCCUCUUCCAGGACGGCUCUUCUCAAUAAGUAGACGAUGCAGUUGGAGACUCCAGCUAGCGAAUCCACGAGGGCUCCAGGUACUUGCGAUUCUCCUUGCGAGCACGCACCGGGCGAGCCGUGUCUUCCCUCCUGUUAGUGUUGCUGUCAGGUGGGUCCGACAGGUCAGGGAUGCUGAC
rnacentral:lncRNA from 1 species